rnacentral:tRNA from 1 species
GGAUUGUGGCUCUGUGGUAUAGCACUUGCCUAGCAUGUGUGAGGCAUGGGUUCAAUCCCCAGCACCA